UCUGCAGGAGGAGGAGCCUCCCCUGCGGCCGAGACUGAUGAGAGCUUCAUAAGCAUCCUGGUCAAUCAUCAUCAGGGCUUGCCACCGGCAGUACCGGUGCGGUGCCCUGCGCCUGCUUUUGAUCGGGAUACUGGCAGUGCCAACCAGUUUGUGUCAGAUACAUGGGGCGGAUUUUCAGCCAUGCAUCAACAUUAGAAAUUGGACAGACCAAUUAGGCUCAUCUAGCCCAUCUACCUUCCUGGACCGUACUGAAGAGAAGAUGAUAAUUGUGCUUUUCAUAAGGGUAAUUUACUGCAAGUCAUUAAGAUACUGGUUUGACAGCCAAUGCAAAAGGUGACAACUUUAGUAGGGGCGACUGGUAAAAGGGGACAAGUGGACACAACAGCCACAGCCUGGGGAGGAUCCAGGCCUGGGGCCUCAAUAGUGUUUCCUCUGAGCUGAGCACUUGAGAAACCACCCAGGACUGAUUCGGGUGCUGUCGAGGUGGUUAGCAGUGCACCCACAGCCAUCAGAAUGUGUUUCUAUGGGUGGUACACACCUGCCCAUGCCUUGGUGCACAUAACAAAAUGUAUUCUGCAUAUGGAUGGAAAAAAUGAGAUGGAACACUGGCCCUCAGUGGCAUAGAAGACAGCUUUCCCAGGACUGCUCCUCCCUGUGUCCCUGUCUGAAGGUGGGCGGAGGAGGAGGGGGGGGGAAAUCAGAGAUGCAAGAAGAAAGGGUAGGUUCUCUCUUCCCCUGAGAUGGGAAGGGAAGGAACAAGAGGUCCCAGUUUCUCCAGCCGGGGGGAGAUGGGUAGAGAGAGGUCCAUGCAAACGCCCUAAUUUUUUUCAUAAACAGUUCUAAACUGGGGCCUGUGCAAAAGGAGACAAGCAGGGGCAAGGCCCCUCCCCCCAUAUAAUUGGCAGUGGAUGCAGAAAAAACGGUUACUUACCUGUAACUGUUGUUCUUCGAGAUGUGUUGCUCAUGUCCCUUCGAAUUAGGUGCGCGCGCACCAUGUGCACAGCUUCCAGAGCCUUUUUUCUUCAGCGGUAUCCAUCGGGCCAGCAGGUAGCCCCCUAGAGUGGCACCGACAUAAUGGUGCAUAAGUACGCCUGCUGGCCCUCCUCUCCCUCAGUUCUUUCUUGCUGGAUACUCCGACGAAGGGGGACAGGGGUGUCGAAUGGACAUGAGCAGCACAUCUCGAAGAACAACAGUUACAGGUAAGUAACCGUUUUUUCUUUGAGUGAUUGCUCAUGUGCAUUCAAAUUAGGUGACUCCCUAGCCAAGCCUCUGGAGGUGGAGUCAGAGAACGUCACUUGCUAUUAUAAGAUCGAGUGCAAUGCUACAGCUCCCAGAGCCGCAUCCCCUCCAGCCUGCUGAGUGACUGCAUAGUGUGCUGUGAGUGUAUGAACUGAUGACCACGUGGCAGCUCUGCAUAUGUUCACUAUAGGGAUCUGCGUGAGGAGUGCAGCCGAAGAUGCCUGCACUCUCGUGGAAUGUGGGCCAUAAUGUGGUGCGGCUCCUUUCCUGCCAACUCAUAAAAUUCCCUAAUGCACCAGGAAAUCCAGGAAGAUAAUCUCUGUGCUGACACAGGUAGCCCUCUCAUUUUCUCUGCUAUAGAAUCAAAGAGUUGAGAUGACCUCCGAAACGGCCUUGUCCUAUCGAUGUAAAAGGCCAGCGCUCUCUUUGCAUCUAGUGUGUGCAGGGCCCGCUCUCUAGGGGAUGCAUGAGGUUUUGGAAAGAAUACAGGUAGGAAGAUACCCUGCGACAUAAGGUAGACACCCCCUUAGGGAGGAAGGCCGGAGGAGGGAGCAGCCUUACCCUGUCUGUGGAGAACACCAUGUAUGAAGGGUCUAUCCUCAGAGCCCUGAGUUCCGGAACCCUUCUUGCUGAUGGAAUGGCCACAAUAAAAGCCACUUUGAAAGAGA